UGAAAUAAAAAAUAAAUGAUUAAAGUUUUGAAGCUGAAUAAAUGUAAAGAUAUCCGUUGAUGAAUGUCUACAUGCAGCAUCUCUUGCAACUCCUGUGCAGAUUGUGUGAAGAUCAAGGAAUGAGGGCGUCAGAUCUUCCUUUGUAAUACUAUCGCCCUAAAGACAGUUUGAAAUCGGCUUGUGAAUCUCCUCACACACACACACACACACACAGAGUAAAGAAAACCACACAGCUGCCUAAGGCAAUUCUCAAUCAUCUAUACAUCCUGUGUCCCUAAAAGGAUCAAUGUUGAAGGCCCUUUGUACGAAGACAGAUCAAGAAAUGUCUCUUUUAUGGUCUUAAGGUAUAUUUAAAAAAGAUUAUACUUUAAAGUUUCACAAUAUCAUAAUAGGAAAUUACAAUAAGUGGCUCUUUCUGACCAUACAGCUGUCUCAGGCAUUUCUCAAACAUCUAUACAUCCUGUGUCCCUAAAAGGAUCAAUGGUUCCUGCUCUUUCAGAAGGCCCUUUGUAUGAAGACAGAUCAAGAAAUGUCUCUUUUAUGGUCUUUUAAGACAUAUUUAAAAAAGAUUAUACUUUAAAGUUUCACAAUAUCAUAAUAGGAAAUUACAAUAAGUACCUUUAACACCGAGCCUGAUGUCAAAUGUCAAAGUACAUUUGUAUGUUUCUGUGUGAAGCCCCGUGUUGGAGCUCUGGAUAAUAAACAUCUCAAAUGACAAGAAAGUAAAUUAAAUGUUAAAUCUCAGAGGCUAAUCUCUGCAUCAAACACACACACACACACACACACACACACACACACGGGAAUCAGAGAAGAUCAAGAGGUUAUGUGUUGACAGGCCGGAGUCGGCACCCUGUAGCUGUCACCCCGCAUCUGCAGUUAAUUAGGGGUAAUUUAGCUAGAAAUGGGAAUGUAUGCAUAUGAGUGUUGGCAGACCGGAACCGGCAUCCUGCCGAUAUAGACUGUUUGGUCAUUGCAUUGUUUUCACACACACAGGAACUUAUAAAGAUAUGGGGUACCUAGUGACUGUGGAUAUUAAAAACUUGGAGAAUGGAAUGCAGCGUCCUGUGAAGAUCAAGAAGAUUGGAGGAAGUGUGAAAUUUAUGCAUUUACAUAGUAUUGUGUACCUGGAGGAGCACAAGGUAUAUAACCAGCUAUUUCCGAUCUAGCAGGGAUAGUGUGUGUGUGGAGAGGUCUCUGUGUUGUGUCUCCGUAUCUGAGAGAAUAGGACUUCUGAACCUGACAGCGGAGAAUGGCUCAAGCAUCCGGUAAAUUACCUAUAUCUUUAAAGCUAAAUUUUAUGCGUUUAAACCUUUAGGCAGAAACAUAGGGAAUUUUUCAUUCUUUGCAGUGACUCUAAACGGAGGGGUGAACCUUCAAGCAGAGGAGUCUGAUUCAUCAACUGAUACCUCAACAUCCGAGACCUCGUCUGAUACUGACUCCUCAUCUGUGCUUUCAGAGGCAGUACCCGAUCUGUGGGGCGAUUUGGACCAAUAUUUCCAAGAAGGGUUAUCGCCAUCAUCACAGCCACAGGAUGACGCAGCGG